GGUAGUCCACGCCGUAAACGAUGUCGACUUGGAGGUUGUGCCCUUGAGGCGUGGCUUCCGGAGCUAACGCGUUAAGUCGACCGCCUGGGGAGUACGGCCGCAAGGUUAAAACUCAAAUGAAUUGACGGGGGCCCGCACAAGCGGUGGAGCAUGUGGUUUAAUUCGAUGCAACGCGAAGAAACUUACCUACUCUUGACAUCCAGAGAACUUAGCAGAGAUGCUUUGGUGCCUUCGGGAACUCUGAGACAGGUGCUGCAUGGCUGUCGUCAGCUCGUGUUGUGAAAUGUUGGGUUAAGUCCCGCAACGAGCGCAACCCUUAUCCUUUGUUGCCAGCGGUUAGGCCGGGAACUCAAAGGAGACUGCCAGUGAUAAACUGGAGGAAGGUGGGGAUGACGUCAAGUCAUCAUGGCCCUUACGAGUAGGGCUACACACGUGCUACAAUGGCGCAUACAAAGAGAAGCGACCUCGCGAGAGCAAGCGGACCUCAUAAAGUGCGUCGUAGUCCGGAUUGGAGUCUGCAACUCGACUCCAUGAAGUCGGAAUCGCUAGUAAUCGUAGAUCAGAAUGCUACGGUGAAUACGUUCCCGGGCCUUGUACACACCGCCCGUCACACCAUGGGAGUGGGUUGCAAAAGAAGUAGGUAGCUUAACCUUCGGGAGGGCGCUUACCACUUUGUGAUUCAUGACUGGGGUGAAGUCGUAACAAGGUAACCGUAGGGGAACCUGC
rnacentral:rRNA from 1 species